rnacentral:lncRNA from 1 species
AUCUCAGCCAGGAUGUUCCACCUCAGAGAGCCAGGUUCUUUGUGGAGCUCUGAUACAUACUGAAAAGUGACAAACCUGGGUAAAUUUGCCUCUCUGUCCAUAUCCUAGGUGGUAUCUGCUCCAGAUGUGUACCACAGCAUUUCUGACCUUCCCCUCACUGACCAGCACCACAAACUCAGCAUUAUCAGCGAGCUCUGUCCCCUCCUGAAUCACCCAGUAAAAAUCUGUGGCAGAGCUGAGCAUCAAGAAAGUGACUGCUUGUCAUUAAUAUCCACUUCACUUUAAACUCACUGCAGCCCUGGAAACCUCAGAAGCUGCUAUUCCAGUUGCUCAUAAUGUGCUCUUUGUUUUGUGCUUGGCUUAUCUUGGAGCACAAUGCAAUCUGAAGGAAGUACACCCACUCCCUGAUGUUUUCCUUGGGAGCCAGAAAUGUGCGUGCGGCGUUGUUUGGGGCAGUGCUAAGAAGUCUUAGUGAAAUGAAGAAGUUGGACUUCCUUGUUUUACUAUUAUCUCAUACUGCCCCUUCUUUUCUGGAGAGAGAAAGGAAAAAGAGAAGGGAGAGGAAAAAAACUGAAACUGGAGAAAGGAGAAUUGAGAUGUUUUCAGGACCCGAGAUGAAAUAUUUUGUGCUGAAUUUGAAGCAUUUUAUUCAGUGA